UUCUCACCUGGAACAUCGCCAAAUCCUGUAAAAGCUGAGGAUUUCACUAUUAGGUGCUCCGUUUGUCUCCCUUGGUGGUGGUGCUGUUGACUUGGGGGAAAGACCAUAGAAGGUAGCAGAUGCUAGACUUGUACUAGAGGAUGGUUCCACAUGGAAAGCAAAGUGUUUUGGUGCUUCAGGAACCCAAGCUGCUGAGGUGGUUUUCAAUACAUCUCUGACAGGCAGGUUUGGGGGUGCUAAUUACACUGUUUCAAGUAUGAUUGGAGUUCUACUCUCACCAUUGCAUGUAUCAAGAAAUCCUUACAGACCCUAGUUAUGUUGUCCACUUUGUCUUGAUGACAAACCUGCAUAUUGGGAAUACCGGCAUUAAUUUUGAUAGGUUUUGUCGGUUCAAGUUAUGACCUAUAUCUUCUACUGUCAUACAAUGCUUCCUUGAUGGUUUAGUGAUUAGAAGUUUAAGUAUCAGUACCUCAAACUGGUGAUGCAAAGAAACUCUUGGUGAUUAUUUGGCACAAAGGAACACCAUGGAAUAAGUGACUCUAUCAGUAUUUUAUGUGCUUUUCUUUUCAUACAACUCAUUAAAUAUUCUCUGGUUAUCAUAGAUCCUUUCUCCUGAUUCUUUAACUUUGCCCUCCAAUUUAUUAUUUUCAAUGUUAUUCUCGUAUAUAAUAGAUGUUGUGGACACUAGAGCAAUUACACGUAGAUCAAGAGAUGGAAGCCUUAUAGCUGUUAUUAAAACACUGAUGAAUCCUAACUGUUGGAAUUGUCCUGCAGAUGGGAUAUUGUUGGUGUUGAUUUGAUUAGUGAUGUCUUCUGCAAGGCCCCAUAUAAAUGGGUUGAUAAAACAGAUUCAAAAUGAAAAUUCAAGAAUUGUGCUGGAGAUGGAGAAAGCUUUCAUAUACAAAAUAACAGUUGUCCUUUCAACAUGGCCAGCUUGAAAGACACUGGAGAUGAAUCCAGAUGGAGUUCUUUUUAGCAAUGGCCAAGGAGAUCCAUCUGUUGUUCCUUAUGCUGUUGAAACAGUGAAGGAAAUGAAGCUUGGCCAUCAUGGAGGAAACCACCCAGUUCACAACCUUAGAAAUGGCUGUGUCAAGAUAAGUUAUCAGGCAUGUUCAUUUUCUUGUGCAUUUAUGUGUAUUUGUUAAUAAAACCCUCUUAAUUUAAUUUGAAUUUAAAGGUAGAUGGGUAUUAGCCUGGUAAUUACUGUAAACAUCACCUCAUAUUUAAUAUUAAUCCAAAGAUAAUAUGGCACAUCAGUGUCUUUUUCCUGCUUA